rnacentral:rRNA from 1 species
UAAACGACUCUCGGCAACGGAUAUCUCGGCUCUCGCAUCGAUGAAGAACGUAGCGAAAUGCGAUACUUGGUGUGAAUUGCAAAAUCCCGUGAACCAUCGAGUUUUUGAACGCAAGUUGCGCCCAAAGCCAUUAAGCCGAAGGCACGUCUGCCUGGGCGUCAC